UACACUACUAAGAGGCAUCACAGUUACCGUGUGGUUUACUUGACUAAAGUUUUGGCCAUCACCAGUCACCACUAUAUAUGCCUCGUUAUAUACGUCUACACUACUUAGUAUUCGUUCUUCUCCUGUUGGUUCUGAUGCCAUGCGGUGCUACACAUUUUAUGCUGAGCUUUUGCUGUGUCUAGACAAGCUGAGAUUUUAGAGGAAACUGAAAAGAGAGGUGGAUCAUACUAUCUCACUCAGUAGAAAUGUUGCACACCUCAAAAGAUUUUGACUGUCAACCACGCAACUACAAACCACAACAACGAUGGCAAAGUUUGUACAUGAUUGGACUAGAUGCGGUGGAGGGGACUUGGUGUGCGGCAGAAUAAUGUGUGACCGUAUAUCAUGGAUAAACCCACUUUGACAAUUUCACUUCCACCAUCAACAUCAGGUUCAAAGAAAGAUGUAGUACUUUUUCUCUUUUGUUUUACAGUGUGAUAGCAGAAAAAUGUUCCAUUGUUAUUAGCUGUGUAGUAAUUAUUUAUUAUUUUGGCUGUUGAGCUAAGAUCCCUGCAACAACUACCUUCUAGGAGGCAGGGACAUUUCACAGCAAUAAUAGAUUCAGUUAAUCUCUGUCCAGAGUCGGAAAUUAAAUGGAAUCAUAGACUAUUUCAUCCAUCCUUCAUGUUAUGUAUAUAAUCGGUGUGUCAUCUGAAGUGCUGAUGUUGG
rnacentral:lncRNA from 1 species